rnacentral:rRNA from 1 species
UACGGAGGGUGCAAGCGUUGUCCGGAAUCACUGGGCGUAAAGGGCGCGUAGGCGGCUCAUGAAGGCUGUGGUGAAAGUCCGGGGCUCAACCUCGGAUCGGCCGUGGCGACUCGUGGGCUGGAGCACUGUAGAGGCGGGUGGAAUUCCGGGUGUAGCGGUGGAAUGCGUAGAGAUCCGGAAGAACACCAGUGGCGAAGGCGGCCCGCUGGGCAGUGGCUGACGCUGAAGCGCGACAGCGUGGGGGAGCAAACAGG